rnacentral:rRNA from 1 species
CACGCUGUAAACGAUGAUUACUAAGUGUCGGGAAACCGGUGCUGAAGCUAACGCAUUAAGUAAUCCACCUGAGUAGUACGGUCGCAAGACUGAAACUCAAAGGAAUUGACGGGCACCCGCACAAGCGGUGGAGCAUGCUGUUUAAUUCGAAGAUACGCGAAGAACCUUACCUAGACUUGACAUCCCCGGCAAAGCUAUAGAAAUAUAGUGGAGGUUACCCGGGUGACAGGUGG